rnacentral:rRNA from 1 species
GAUGAACGCUGGCGGCGUGCCUAAUACAUGCAAGUAGAACGCUGAAGCUUGGUGCUUGCACCGAGCGGAUGAGUUGCGAACGGGUGAGUAACGCGUAGGUAACCUGCCUCUUAGCGGGGGAUAACUAUUGGAAACGAUAGCUAAUACCGCAUAAAAGUCGAUAUCGCAUGAUAUUGAUUUGAAAGGUGCAAUUGCAUCACUAAGAGAUGGACCUGCGUUGUAUUAGCUAGUUGGUGAGGUAACGGCUCACCAAGGCGACGAUACAUAGCCGACCUGAGAGGGUGAUCGGCCACACUGGGACUGAGACACGGCCCAGACUCCUACGGGAGGCAGCAGUAGGGAAUCUUCGGCAAUGGGGGCAACCCUGACCGAGCAACGCCGCGUGAGUGAAGAAGGUUUUCGGAUCGUAAAGCUCUGUUGUAAGAGAAGAACGAGUGUGAGAGUGGAAAGUUCACA